GAUCCUGGCUCAGGAUGAACGCUAGCUACAGGCUUAACACAUGCAAGUCGAGGGGCAGCAUGGUCUUAGCUUGCUAAGACUGAUGGCGACCGGCGCACGGGUGAGUAACACGUAUCCAACCUGCCGUCUACUCUUGGACAGCCUUCUGAAAGGAAGAUUAAUACAAGAUGGCAUCAUGAGUCCGCAUGUUCACAUGAUUAAAGGUAUUCCGGUAGACAUGGGG
rnacentral:rRNA from 1 species